rnacentral:rRNA from 1 species
GACGAACGCUGGCGGCGUGCUUAACACAUGCAAGUCGAACGGUGAACCAGAGCUUGCUCUGGGGAUCAGUGGCGAACGGGUGAGUAACACGUGGGCAACCUGCCCCAGACUCUGGGAUAACCUCGGGAAACCGAUGCUAAUACCGGAUACGACCACUUCGGACAUCCGACGGUGGUGGAAAGUUUUUCGGUCUGGGAUGGGCCCGCGGCCUAUCAGCUAGUUGGUGGGGUAAUGGCCUACCAAGGCGACGACGGGUAGCCGGCCUGAGAGGGCGACCGGCCACACUGGAACUGAGACACGGUCCAGACUCCUACGGGAGGCAGCAGUGGGGAAUAUUGCACAAUGGGCGAAAGCCUGAUGCAGCGACGCCGCGUGAGGGACGACGGCCUCGGUUGUAACGUACUUUCUAGCAGGACGAAGACGAAGUAGACUGUACCUGCAGAAGAAGACACCGGC